UCAAUCUCUUCUCUCCCAUGUUACCCUCAUCAAAGUGAAGAUCGUCACUAAUUAAACUAAAAAAAAACCAGAAGAUGAAAGAAAGAACUGAAGUGAAAUUAGAAAGAAGAAAACAACUACAACCGUGCUUACUCUCUAUAUAUCUAGCUAACAUUUAUUAUCGUCAUCAUCAUCUUCCACAUCAAAAGAUCAAGAAGAUGAAGACGACCCAUUAGUGCAGACAUGAGCAACAUUAUCAUUCUCAAAGAGUUGGUGAUGAUCCACGAUGUCACUGCUGUUAUUGUUGUUGGUGGUUGUGGUGGUGUCGUGGGUGUUUUCAAGAUCAUUGCUUCUAAUUCCAUUCCCAUUAGCAUCCCUUUUGCCGAAAGUGUUCUUGUUAUUAUGCAUCCACACUUUUAACACGCCUUUGUCAACCCCAACUUCAUUGCAGAAUUCUUGAAUCGAUUCCUCAUCCCUUUUCUGCACCUUCCAUCCAACUCUCUCUGCGAAAUGGUACAUUCUCUCUUUCUGGCUCUGGCU
rnacentral:misc_RNA from 1 species